UCCUGAAACCCUAUCAUACGCUUCUUCUUCUUGCAUCUCAUUUUCUUUGAAACCUAAAUCUUCAUCAUCGCUUAAUCUCACAACCCCAACCCUUGUGCUUCUCAAUUAUACUUCAUCUACAUCCAGAUCCCUACUUUCAUUCUCACUUUUCAGAUCUCAUCACUCCAUUAAUGCCCCAAACUGUUUGACUCUCUCGAUUUCUGUAUCAUCUAACACUCCAGAUCUUCACAGGUGAUGUUGCAUACAGAUCUGAGGUUAUGUUUGCUUGUGGCGUGUGAUUUAUCAGAUUUGUAGUUGAUUGAUUGCUCUUCUAAGCAAGGAGAGAUGGAAUCUGAAGGAGAGACUGGGGGUUCCGCUCAGAAUCUUUGAUAUUCCGACCAGAAGCUAGGGUUUUGAUGGUAGUUUCCAGCGACACAGGUGGUGUUUGAGAUUGAAUCUUAAUUGAAAAGGGUUUGUAUUAGAGCUUCCUAGAGCAUUGUCAACCAUUUGCCUAUGAUGGGUUAUUUGUGAUUAUGUUUUCUCUGUGUUAGGUUUAUCCAGGCAAUUAAAAAUAAAAUAGCUUUCAUGACAAAAGUUGUGUUUGAUGUGCUAAUUUUGUAGGAUGCGUUACAUGAUAGUAUUGUGUUAAUCAUCAAGCUUGGCUCCAAUCUUUUGAUCUAUCCGAAGUAUUAAUUGUCCAUUAUUCCUGAAGAUAUGGCGGACCUGUCAUUAAAGUAUAAUUGAAUCGUGCAAGUUAUACUCUUCUUCCUUCUCAUUUUCAUUAUAUACAUUUUAUCGCUUUUUUAUGUUUUAAGCCAAUGAUGGGACCAAUGCAAGCAUCGUCAAUACUUAUAAAGAAGGCUUCGGCAUAUAAUUUUGUUGGUUCAGCAGUCCUUAACCUUUGACAAGUUAAUGGCUGGUAACUACUUGGUGAGGUUAUUGCUGGAGCAGAUGAUAGACUCUGCAAAUUCGGCUUAUCUUGGCAUACUAGAAAGGUGGGUGUAUGAAGGACUUAUUGAUGAUCCACAUGACGAGUUCUUCAUUGCUGAGAACAAAUCUCUUCAAAAGGUGUAAGGUUAUACAACUGCCUUAUAGUUUAAUACCCCUGAUAGGGAUAUGGUGAUUACUCUUGAUGACUGAUACACUCAAAAUCAUUUGGAGCUCAAUAUGCUAGAUGGAGUGUUGGUCGAUGGCAAGGGACUUAAUGUUGAUCUAGGCUCAAUUUCAUUGGUUUUUCCCUAUAAAUAUAGUUCCAUUGUUCAAGACGACAUUAACCAUACUACACUCAAUGAUGAUUUAGCAUGUAUUGGAGCAUGAAAAACCACACGAGCACUCAGUAAUAAUUCUGUUCAAAUGAGUCAAUAGAAGUUUGCAUCAAAUGUGGUUGAGAAAUGUUUUGACUUUUGGAGAUGCUAGCAAACGCCAACUUCUUGUGAAUAAGUUCAACAAUUAGUUUCUUAACUUGCUGGGACUUUUGCUGUUAGAAAUGAAUCUAACUCUCAAGAAAAUGAAAAGAGGAGUUUAAUGAGUAGGUGCACAUAAAUUAUCUCCCAUUUAAAGGAUGGAGGACCAACAUCAUUUGCUCAUGUCAUUGAACAGGAAAUAUGCAUCUUUAAGUAAAUUGGGGGCAAUUAUCAUGUGUUUUUAAUUAUUACGGCACGAGUCCGAGACACUUCUAUGCUUAUAGAAUACUCCAAAACAAAGUAUGCACUUUAUGAUUAACUUAUCUAAUACGUCACAUUAUUUAA